AGAUGGCCGGCACUCCCAGGUAAGCUCCCGGGUCCCCUACUUUCUCCAUCCCAAGAAUGGUUGCCAGAUGGAGAGAUAAAUGUUCCGGCACAUUCCCCCCGAAGAACACACUGGAUUUGGAUUUAUUUACCUGUUGACCCGAAGCCGAGCAAUAUUCGUCAAUAACCUGGACUAAAUUUCUACAGUUCCUCGCCUCCGCCUUCAGAAAGAUCAAAGUAUCAUCCGCAAAGAAAAUGUGAGAAAUCAUGGGAC
rnacentral:lncRNA from 1 species